rnacentral:rRNA from 1 species
UACGUAGGGCGCAAGCGUUGUCCGGAAUUAUUGGGCGUAAAGAGCUCGUAGGCGGUCUGUCACGUCUGCCGUGAAAACCCGAGGCUUAACCUCGUGGCUUGCGGUGGAUACGGGCAGACUAGAGGUAGGUAGGGGAGAACGGAAUUCCCGGUGUAGCGGUGAAAUGCGCAGAUAUCGGGAGGAACACCGGUGGCGAAGGCGGUUCUCUGGGCCUUACCUGACGCUCGGGUGCGAAAGCUAGGGGAGCGAACGGG